rnacentral:rRNA from 1 species
UACGUAGGUGGCAAGCGUUGUCCGGAUUAGCUGGGCGUAAAGAGCGCGCAGGCGGUCGGCCAAGUCGAAUGUGCAAAGGCCCCCGGCUCCAACGUGGGGAGGGUCAUUCGAUACUGGUCGACUCGAAGGCAGGAGAGGGAAGCGGAAUUCCCGGUGUAGUGGUGAAAUGCGUAGAUAUCGGGAGGAACACCAGUGGCGAAGGCGGCUCCUGCCUGUUCUUGACGCUGAGGCGCGAAAGCUAGGGGAGCAAACGGG